GGAGGCGUCGCAUAGAGGCCUAGUGCCACGGUUUGCUAAACCGUUAGGGGAGAAAUCCCCUCGAAGGUUCGAAUCCUUCCGCCUCCGCCA
rnacentral:tRNA from 1 species